rnacentral:rRNA from 1 species
AACGAACGCUGGCGGCAUGCCUAACACAUGCAAGUCGAACGAGACCUUCGGGUCUAGUGGCGCACGGGUGCGUAACGCGUGGGAACCUGCCCUUAGGUUCGGAAUAACUCCCCGAAAGGGGUGCUAAUACCGGAUAAUGUCUUCGGACUAAAGAUUUAUCGCCUUUGGAUGGGCCCGCGUUGGAUUAGCUAGUUGGUAGGGUAAAAGCCUACCAAGGCGACGAUCCAUAGCUGGUCUGAGAGGAUGAUCAGCCACACUGGGACUGAGACACGGCCCAGACUCCUACGGGAGGCAGCAGUGGGGAAUAUUGGACAAUGGGCGAAAGCCUGAUCCAGCAAUGCCGCGUGAGUGAUGAAGGGCUUAGGGUUGUAAAGCUCUUUUACCCGGGAUGAUAAUGACAGUACCGGGAGAAUAAGCUCCGGCUAACUCCGUG